GGGACUGCCGAGUCUGCAUUUCAGCCCCCAGACAUCCACUGGAAGAGGCUGUGCUUUCCAGAACUUUCAUGUCAGAUGCAUUGCCCCUCUCAGCUAGGAUCUUCUUGGGGUCUAGCCUGAGCAUCUAGUCAGGACCUGGUGCUUGAGGUCAGAACAAGAAAAAGAAACAGAAAAGAAAACCAGGAAGAACAAUGGUGACUGGAAAGCUGACUGUAUUUACGUGAGGGGAACAUAAAAUGCAUGUGAAUGUGACAUUUAACCAGUCUAGUGCCUCAAAUCUUACAGACAUCUUAUAAAUCUUUACUGAUGGUGGAUGGUGAUGAAGAUGAUGAUAGUGGAGAAGAAUUUAAAUAUGACAAUAACAUGAAGUCAGCCUCAGAGUGGCAAUUGGACUGUCCUUGAAGACUCUUGUUUCUUGAAGCUAUUUGUGCAUCUUCAUGUCCAAAUAUGUACCCACAGGAGGUUGUGAGCCCGAGACACCGAAGGAGAAGCUGCCUGAUCUUCCCUCUGCUUUAAACUGGAUGCUGAGGAAGACCCUGAGAUGGUAUGGGCUGGGCAGGGACCAGGACUCCCUGAGUUUGCUAACUGGUGUCCUACAUGCGGUGAUAUUUAGGACCAUAGAACAUGUAGCCAACCAUUUCAGUGCCUUUUCUGUUCUAUGAAGGAAGCCUAGCCAUGUGUAUGGAGUAAGCCUUCCUGAAAGAAAUGGAUAUUCUCACUGUCAGCCGUCCUGGAAUGGGAGUGAGUUGGUCAGGAUGGAGUAGGCAAGGAAUUCUCUUCCCGAGACAACUCCAAGGUGGGAAGCUGCUGAAUAUGCCCUAUCUGGGGCUGGUCUGGUUCUCUGUGUCGAGCCUGAUGGCAGCUUCCUCUGACAGCCCUUGCUCUGGCACUGGUCUGUGCACGUGAACCUUGAUAAUACCUAUCAAACAGCAGUGCUUAUUGCUCUUUCUGAUGGAUGUCUUGAUCCCCACCACAGCCUGGUCUUUGCUAGGCUGCUAGCCUGAAGGGAGCAGAGUCCCUGCCCAGAGGAAUAGGUGCAGGGGACCCAGAGCGGCCUGGAAAAGCCAGAUGCAGGUUGGACUGGAGGGUUUGUGAAACUACAGAAAGCCAGGAGACAAUAGAUUACACUUUCCCCCAGGGUGUCCAGAAACCACUUGAGAGGCAAAUUCAGUAGGAAAAUGGGCUUCCUGUCAUACAACUGAUGUAUCUGGGAUAUAUCCAUUCUACCUAAUUGGGAACACUGAAAGAUUCAUAGCUCCUGUUUCUGACAUCCCAGGUGUUCCUAAUUACCCCAAGCAGCAUUUCUCAGGGCUGUCCCAAACAUUUCUCAGGAAAAAAUAU